GAAAAAUACAGAAAAAGGCAGACAGCUAAAGUUUUUACUGUUCCAUUGAAUUUUUUUCCUUUUCCUUUGAUUUAUGAAGUUUUACAAGUCCUGAAACAUUUUCUGAUUCGUCUAAGCCUUAGAAUGAGUUGAAUUUGGCUGUUUCUGCAAAUUGAUUCUGGAUUGAGUUUUGUGUUUGGAGUCCUAAUCAAAUCUGGAGUUUCAAAUUGAUUCAAAUGACAUUUGAUAUCUCCUCUUUGCUGUUCCUGGGGUGACUGUACUGAUGCUGUUGAUUAACUCCUUGUUCUCUUAUUUUUUUUUCUUCAAUUCCAG
rnacentral:lncRNA from 1 species